GGUUGUGGCUCGGCGGUAAAGUGCUUGCCUAGCAUGUGAGAGGCCCUGGGUUCAAUUCUCAGCACCA
rnacentral:tRNA from 1 species